rnacentral:rRNA from 1 species
GACGAACGCUGGCGGCGUGCCUAAUACAUGCAAGUCGAACGCUUCUUUCCUCCCGAGUGCUUGCACUCAAUUGGAAAGAGGAGUGACGGACGGGUGAGUAACACGUGGGUAACCUACCCAUCAGAGGGGGAUAACACUUGGAAACAGGUGCUAAUACCGCAUAACAGUUUAUGCCGCAUGGCAUAAGAGUGAAAGGCGCUUUCGGGUGUCGCUGAUGGAUGGACCCGCGGUGCAUUAGCUAGUUGGUGAGGUAACGGCUCACCAAGGCCACGAUGCAUAGCCGACCUGAGAGGGUGAUCGGCCACACUGGGACUGAGACACGGCCCAGACUCCUACGGGAGGCAGCAGUAGGGAAUCUUCGGCAAUGGACGAAAGUCUGACCGAGCAACGCCGCGUGAGUGAAGAAGGUUUUCGGAUCGUAAAACUCUGUUGUUAGAGAAGAACAAGGACGUUAGUAACUGAACGUCCCCUGACGGUAUCUAACCAGAAAGCCACGGCUAACUACGUG